UACUAAAUACGGCGUCGUGGUUCUCUUGAGUCUGUUCGGACUCGGGAGCUAAGAGGGAAGCCGGUGCGCGUGAAGGCAAUGCCGGAGCUGCCCCCGCAACUGUAAGCAGCGAGCUUACGUCGAGUAACGCCACUGGCGCUCUAUAGCGCCGGGAAGGCCGACGGAGGCGAAGACCUGUGAGCCAGGAGACCUGCCUCGAUAACAUGAACGCUC
rnacentral:ncRNA from 1 species